UGCAUGAAGCAGGAAUCGCUCGUAAUCGCCGGUCAGCCAUACGGCGGUGAAUCCGUUCCCGGGCCUUGUACACACCGCCCGUCACACUAUAGGAGCUGGCCAUGUUUGAAGUCAUUACCCUUAACCGUAAGGAGGGGGAUGCCUAAGGCUAGGCUUGCGACUGGAGUGAAGUCGAAACAAGGUAGCCGUACUGGAAGGUGCGGCUGG
rnacentral:ncRNA from 1 species